CCUACGGGAGGCAGCAGUGGGGAAUAUUGGACAAUGGGGGCAACCCUGAUCCAGCCAUGCCGCGUGUGUGAAGACGGCCCUCGGGUUGUAAAGCACUUUCAGUGAGGAAGAACGCCUGGUGGUUAAUACCCAUCAGGAAAGACAUCACUCACAGAAGAAGCACCGGCUAACUCCGUGCCAGCAGCCGCGGUAAUACGGAGGGUGCGAGCGUUAAUCGGAAUUACUGGGCGUAAAGCGCGCGUAGGUGGCUUGAUAAGCCGGUUGUGAAAGCCCCGGGCUCAACCUGGGAACGGCAUCCGGAACUGUCAAGCUAGAGUGCAGGAGAGGAAGGUAGAAUUCCCGGUGUAGCGGUGAAAUGCGUAGAGAUCGGGAGGAAUACCAGUGGCGAAGGCGGCCUUCUGGACUGACACUGACACUGAGGUGCGAAAGCGUGGGUAGCAAACAGGAUUAGAUACCCUUGUAGUC
rnacentral:rRNA from 1 species